rnacentral:tRNA from 1 species
GCCUGGGUGGCUCAGUGGUUAAGCAUCUGCCUUUGGCUCAGGGCGUGAUCCUGGAGUCCCAGGAUUGAGUCCUGCCUCAGGCU